rnacentral:rRNA from 1 species
AGAGGAAGUAAAAGUCGUAACAAGGUUUCCGUAGGUGAACCUGCGGAAGGAUCAUUACCGAGAGGGGUCAGGCUUCGCGGCCGCGCUCUCGGGGGGAAACCCCCGUAACUCUUCAACCCAGUGUGUAUCUACCUCCGUUGCUUUGGCGAGCGUUGGGGCGCUUUGCGCCUCGGCCCCGGCCCCGGCCGGUGAGCUCUCGCCAGAGGCCCAGCCUCAAGUCUGUUUAGAGUACCGUCCGAGCAUACGAUUAAAUGAAUCAAAACUUUCAACAACGGAUCUCUUGGUUCUGGCCUCGAUGAAGAACGCAGCGAAAUGCGAUAAGUAAUGUGAAUUGCAGAAUUCAGUGAAUCAUCGAAUCUUUGAACGCACAUUGCGCCCCUUGGUAUUCCGGGGGGCAUGCCUGUUCGAGCGUCAUUGCAACCCUCAAGCUUUGCUUGGUAUUGGGCCUUCGUCUCCCUCCUCGAGGGCGGCGUGCCCGUAAACUAGUGGCGGUCCAGGGAGACCUCAAGCGCAGUAAAUCUCAACGCUUGCGAGGUGUCGCCUGCGGCCCGGCCGUGAAAACCCCCCAAUUUUUCAGUAAUUGACCUCGGAUCAGGUAGGGAUACCCGCUGAACUUAAGCAUAUC